rnacentral:misc_RNA from 1 species
GAAAUCUUGUUGCUACUCAAUAUUAAUAUACUGUUUGCAAGAGAAAAUGGCCGAGGAGAGGAGGGUGCCUGACAGUGUAGUGAAUAACUCUCGAGUAGAUAUCAACUUGCGACGCAAUCAAAAUGUAGUAAGAACAUUGAGGAGGAUUCGGCAAGUAAUUGCUGACACUGUCAGAUCUUAUCAGUGUUCUGCGAAUAUAGUAUAUCGUCCUCUGUAUAUGGCUAAAGCAAAGUUGAUGAGAAUAUCUACCGAAGUAUCACAAGAUGGAAAAAAAUCGGCAUGUGCAAGUUUCAUUAAAACAACUUUUUUCCUGAAUGAUCUCUUUCUCUUACAUCCUUUACACGAAGAAGUACUGGUUCUUCUAAAAUUUCUUCGAGUAGCUGCCACCAGGGAUGAGAAAUUUGUUUCUUCUGGCGUUAAUUCGACGCAUUGGCUGCUAUUGUUAGUAAACGAUUUGAUAUCUCUCUCUCGUCGGCCAUUUUCUCUUGCAGUAUUUAUAUUUAGUAGCAACAAGAUUUCACAUACAUACGACACUACAUCGUUGCAAUAUUUCAUAAGGUAAAGUUACACGCGAAUACGCGGAAAAGGUACGCAGGCAACAUAUACCACUGAUAAGCAGGGUUGGAUACGCAUAAUACCUCAUGUUUUAUGCGCAGAGUUGUAUGCGCAGAAAACUCGAGUAUUCUGCGCAGAAAACUGAGCGAGGUUUUCUGCUGCAUAAAACUCCUCUUAUGCAGAAAACCUCCUUUAAGUGAAAAUGUCAAAUACAGGAGGAAGACCUUCUCAUGAUUAUUAUAUUGAAGGUGAAUUUAUCAGGGUCAGAGAAAAUGGAAAAUAUUUUGCAAUUUGCAAAUUAUGCAAUACAAGGUUGUGCACUACUGCAGUAAAACACCUGAAAACUCAUCGGGUAAAGUGUUCAACGAACAGCAAUGACAUUAAUGAAAAUGAUCUUGGGAAAAAAAGAAGUUAUAGCAGCAUCGAUGGUAAAAAUGAAAAUGAAUUAUUAGGCAAUAAGAAAUUAUUAGGCGAAUAUGAUGUUGUUGCAGGCAAAUGUAUAUUGGUAUUGCUAUAUAUACUUAGACGCAAACAAUAUUUUUUGUAUUGGCGGAGGAAUUUUUCCAGCCAUCAAUUAAAAGUAUAGAUUCUGUAUUCUUCAAAGACUCUUUUCUAGCGGCAAUCAUCUUUGUAUGAAAUUUAUCCAAGAUACUUGUAGAUAAAGUUUUCCUUGUCGGCAGUUUAUAAGUCGGAUUUAAAAUAGAUAUAAAAUUUUUUAAAUGUACCGAUUCUACGACAGAAAACGAUAUAUUAUAACCGAAAAAAAAUUUGGCCAAUGCUUCAUCAAUAGUAUUGAGGCCGUCGUUAAAAGAUUUUUGCACAUUAUCCGACGCAGUCUGGGCUGUAUCGUUGAGUGAUGAGUGCAUCUACAAAAAGGCAUAAAAUAUUUCAUUUGAAAUUUAAUAUUUAGAUUGUAGUUAAAGCCUAAUUUGAAAUACAUGAGUUGACUUACAUUA